rfam:Schistosoma haematobium scaffold212_5, whole genome shotgun sequence.
AUUCAGCUGAUGAGUCCCAAAUAAGACAAAACGCGCGUUCUAAAU